CCCGAACCACAUGAAACGGCGUGACGCGUCCAGAGCAGGGGCUGAUGGGAGCUUUGGUUCCUCUGCUAGAAACCACGUGGCCCUGGUCUGAUCUCUCAGCUCGUCCUUGUUUGGCCUCAGCUGCAUCAGAGCGCCACUUCUCCCCAGGUUCACCAGAGGAAACUCCACUGCACACAAUGCUUUUCCUCCCAGCUGCUGCUCUGUGCUGGCUGGGUUCAGCGCUGGCUGCCAUGGCAACACCGCUGGUUCAGGACCAGCUAUCACUUGUAGCUAAAGAAGGUAGCCUCGUCUCUUUAACGUGUUCAGCUUCAAACGGCUGUGAUAAAAAUCAGGUUUAUUGGUAUCAAACCACAGAGAGAGAUCCGCUCAGAGUGAUUCUACGCAUCGACCUGACCAGUGGAUUUCCUAAUGAUCGGUACGGUCAUCCUCAGAAAAAUGAUUUCACGGCUUUCAGUGUAGGAAACAUCUGUAGUCUGAAGAUCAAAACAGUUAAAGAGGAGCAUAAAGGCUCCUAUUACUGCGCCUGCUGGAGGUCUGGUUCCCACAGUGAGCAACGAUCCGAGCUGCCUGAACAAAAACCUGAACAGACGUUACACAGGAAGUAAACCACAGCCUCACCUUCAGCCUGCACAAAGAGUCAUCAACAACAUGAAAAGCAAUAAUCAUUCAAAGGUAGAAUAUUAACUAGUUAUACAACAAAUUUAAAAUAUUUCUGCUCAAACAAGUCAACACAUGAAAUGGUGAAAUGUGAGACUCUUGUUAUUGAUAUGAUUGUUAUGGAUUUUAUAUCUUAUGUUUCAUUUAUUAGGCAGGAAUCAGA